CGGGUGAUUAGCUCAGCUGGGAGAGCACCUCCCUUACAAGGAGGGGGUCGGCGGUUCGAUCCCGUCAUCACCCNN
rnacentral:tRNA from 1 species